AUUGAACGCUGGCGGCAGGCCUAACACAUGCAAGUCGAGCGGAAACGAGUUAUCUGAACCUUCGGGGAACGAUAACGGCGUCGAGCGGCGGACGGGUGAGUAAUGCCUAGGAAAUUGCCCUGAUGUGGGGGAUAACCAUUGGAAACGAUGGCUAAUACCGCAUAAUAGCCUACGGGCCAAAGAGGGGGACCUUCGGGCCUCUCGACGUCAGGACUAUGGCCUAGGUGGGGAUUAGCUAGUUGGUGUAGGUAAUGGCUCACCAAGGCGACGAUCCCUAGCUGGUCUGAGUAGGAUGAUCAGCCACACUGGAACUGAGACACGGUCCAG
rnacentral:rRNA from 1 species